GCGGAUGUGGUGGAAUUGGUAGACACGCUAGACUUAGGAUCUAGUGCCGCGAGGUGUAAGAGUUCGAGUCUCUUCAUCCGCA
rnacentral:tRNA from 1 species